CAAAAUUCGUUUCCUCCAGACGCUCCACCUUUCUCUACAAACCCUAACCUUCAUUUCAUCCAUCGAUCCUCCACUGCUCCUCCAUCGAACCGGUCGUUGCCAUCACCGUCUUCUCCCCUUCUCCACUCCAACAGUCGCUUCAUGGCUUCUUUCCCGGUGGCUUCAAGAUCCGACACUAUCUCAGCAGAUUCGACACCAGAUCGAUUUCUAUGGCUUCUUUCCCGGUGGCUUCAAGAUUCGACACUCUCUCUCUCUCUCUUAGUAGAUCUGACACCAGAUCUACUGGUUUGACUGUAGGAUCUUCCGUUUGGUUGUGGGUUCGUCAACGAUGGUGCUUGUGGGUGGAAGAUCUGGCCAGAUCUAUGGUUUAUUUGUAGUAGAUUUCUCUCUAGAAUAGCACAACAAGCACUCUGUUCUUUGGUUUCGAACAGUGCGAGGUUAUGGCGCUGCAGAUGCUGAGCUGGAGCGACUGCUUAAGGAGACAGGGAAACAGUUAUCGCUUCCUCAUGAUUAUGUACAGUUUACUUCUUUUGUUGAAUCAAUACUUUUCACUGUUAAUGAAAUAUUAUGGUUACACUUGAAGAUUUGUGGAAUUGUAUGAGUUGGAAGGACAUUUAUUGCUGUUUGAUUGAUUAUUUUCUUGAUGUUGCGAGAACGGAAGUGGUACAUCAUACAUGGGGUCGACUGGUCGAGCAACUAUUUCUAGCGGCACUUCAACAGUUAUCAUCUUGCAGGUGUCUAUAAAGCUUAUGAUUUAAGAGAUGAGGGUUCAGACUACUUAGGAAAAGCUGUCUCCAAGUGAUGAAUAGAUAAAACUCAGAUAUACGGGCAGCCGUUGAGAAAUUCAUAGAUUCCAAUCGAAGGAAGAGAUCAUGGAGAGGCAGAAUAAUCAGUAAGGCGAGUAUGAGACGGGGUUUGAUAAUUCCAGUCUGGAUUAUGAUUGUAAAACCGUAUCCAUACAUGGUCCCGUAUUCGUCAGGUAGUGAAGAAGAUGAAACUGCCAUGGGGAAACAAAAGACUAUGCUUAUGAAGAACAUUGACUAGACCUUGGACCAGAUUAGCAAGCACAUGAUAUUGUGUGCAACUUCUCUUUGAGAGGCACAUGAUGUUGUGUGCAACUUCUUUUUGAGAGGCAUCCUAUUUGUAAGUUAUUGAUCAGAUGCAAACUGUGGCAUGAAUCUUUGUUUAGUUGGACAGUUUAUUAUUGUACAAAUACCUUGUUUUUUGUAAGUUAUUGAUUAGAUGUAAACUGUGGCAUGAAUCUUUGUUUAGUUGGAUA